UACGUAGGGGGCAAGCGUUGUCCGGAUUUAUUGGGCGUAAAGAGCGUGUAGGCGGCUUUACAGGUCCGUUGUGAAAACUCGAGGCUCAACCUCGAGACGCCGGUGGAAACCGUAAAGCUAGAGUCCGGAAGAGGAGAGUGGAAUUCCUGGUGUAGCGGUGAAAUGCGCAGAUAUCAGGAAGAACACCCGUGGCGAAGGCGGCUCUCUGGGACGGUACUGACGCUGAGGAGCGAAAGCGUGGGGGAGCGAACAGG
rnacentral:rRNA from 1 species